UAUAUUACCCUUUUUCCGGUGUUGCGUCACAUAACGGAAAUUUUAAUACAUCUCUUCCCUCUAUCUGGUGGUUAUAAUGCUUUCAGCUCGCACUUUUGGGGCACCUAGGAUAGUCGUUGUGGAUAUUGUUAAAUUUUCAACAAACAUUCAGGUAUAUUAGGUAUAUUGAUUGAAUCAGAAGUUUUUUAAAUCUUUUAUAUUUUUUUCUGUAUCUGUCAUUACGGUAAUUUUCAUAUAAUUUAAAUGGUUACUGAUAUUGUUUAAUCCACAGUGAUUUUGAAAGGAAACAGUUGAAGUUAGGUAUGUCAUAACCAAUACUAAGAUUGUUUUACCAAGAGCUAUUUUGAAUAAAGUUCUCUAGAUAUAGUUGUAGAACAAAAAAUUAUGGAAAGUUUAUAGAUACU
rnacentral:lncRNA from 1 species